UAGUACGAGAGGACCGGGAUGGACUGACCUCUGGUGUACCGGUUGAACCGCCAGGUUCACGGCCGGGUAGCCAAGUCGGGAAGGGAUAAACGCUGAAGGCAUCUAAGCGUGAAGCCCCCCUCAAGAUGAGAUAUCCCAUUCUUUAAGAAGUAAGACCCCUUGAAGACGACGAGGUAGAUAGGGCAGGGGUGGAAGUGCCGUAAGGCAUGGAGCUGACUGUUACUAAUCGGUCGAGGGCUUGACCUG
rnacentral:rRNA from 1 species